rnacentral:rRNA from 1 species
AGUGAACGCUGGCGGUAGGCCUAACACAUGCAAGUCGAACGGCAGCACAGUAAGAGCUUGCUCUUACGGGUGGCGAGUGGCGGACGGGUGAGGCAUACAUCGGAAUCUUCUUUUUCGUGGGGGAUAACGUAGGGAAACUUACGCUAAUACCGCAUACGACCUACGGGUGAAAGCAGGGGAUCUUCGGACCUUGCGCGAUUGAAUGAGCCGAUGUCGGAUUAGCUAGUUGGCGGGGUAAAGGCCCACCAAGGCGACGAUCCGUAGCUGGUCUGAGAGGAUGAUCAGCCACACUGGAACUGAGACACGGUCCAGACUCCUACGGGAGGCAGCAGUGGGGAAUAUUGGACAAUGGGCGCAAGCCUAAUCCAGCCAUACCGCGUGGGUGAAGAGGGCCUUCGGGUCGUAAAGCCCUUUUGUUGGGAAAGAAAAGCAGCAGGUUAAUACCCCGCUGUUCUGACGGUACCCAAAGAAUAAGCACCGGCUAACUUCGUG